ACAAUCACAAUCACAAUCACAAUCGAUUCAGUUUCAAUCACCGAGCAAGUGACCGAGAAGCUUUACCAAAUCCAAAACCAAAAACACCCAAAUCGAAUCUGUAGAAGCUUCUACGUUGAAAUGAAUUUGGGAUUUAAAUCAGCUUCUUCUACGUUAAAGCUUUGAAUUAACGAAAGCGACUGGUUAAAGGUUCGCUCUUUUUUUUCGCAUGUUUAUCUGUUGUGACAGUA